CUUCACUGCGUGCUGACUCCAAUGCUGCAAAAAAUAGUAUUUCCAUUUCAGGAGGUGGAAAGUGGGUUAUUGACAGAAGCUUAAGUGAAUAUGCUGAUGACUCCCUAGUUCAUGAUGUCUUAGAAGAUCAAUUGAACAGACCUUCAAAUGGUUUGGAAAGACAAAACUCUCCAAAUAGAAUGUCUCCCCUGAUGGUAGUGUACCCAGGAGUUGUGACCUUUUGUGUUAUAUCAGGGAAGGGCUCUAGAA
rnacentral:lncRNA from 1 species